rnacentral:rRNA from 1 species
CCUACGGGGGGCAGCAGUGAGGAAUAUUGGUCAAUGGCCGAGAGUCUGAACCAGCCAAGCAGCGUGAAGGAUGACUGCGCUAUGGGUUGUAAACUUCUUUUAUCUGGGAAUAAAACGUUCCACGUGUGGGGUUUUGUAUGUACCAGAUGAAUAAGGAUCGGCUAACUCCGUGCCAGCAGCCGCGGUAAUACGGAGGAUCCGAGCGUUAUCCGGAUUUAUUGGGUUUAAAGGGGGCGUAGGUGGAUUGUUAAGUAAGUUGUGAAAGUGUGCGGCUCAACCCUAGAAUUGCAGUUGAAACUGGCGGUCUUGAGUACAGUAGAGGUGGGCGGAAUGCGUGGUGUAGCGGUGAAAUGCUUAGAUAUCGCGAAGAACUCCGAUUGCGAAGGCAGUUCACUGGACUGCAACUGACACUGAGGCUCGAAAGUGUGGGUAUCAAACAGGAUUAGAUACCCGAGUAGUC